CAUGAAAGUUUCUUGCUUGUAUCUGCAGCUCAAACAACACCUAAGUCUGAGAAAGAUAUCAUUCCUGAUGAUGGGGAGAACAUAUAAGGUACAUGCCACCCAUUGUCUGCCAAUUGUAGAUAAUUGAAAAGAGCAAGAGAUCUUUAUUGAAGGACAAGAGAAAUACUUUUGCUAAUAGAAUUGUAGAAAUAAAGCUUGUCCAGGAUCAAAAAAUUGAUAGAGAAGUAUAUUUUCUUGAUCUCCAAAUUAUGUGGAACAAUGGCCACUAUAAAACCAGCAUUUACAGAAAACCAACAUUUAUAUCUACACUUAUCUCUGCAUGAUAAUGAUGACUGUAGGAAGGGGGCUUUAAACAGCCUUAGCACUGUAAUCAAACUAGUGAUUUGUUGUUCACCCUUAACAGAAAGUCCUGUCUUACUCACAAAAGACAGUAUCUUCUCUUCUUUAAUGUUCUUUUUGUAAAAAUAUCUUCCAGUGCAGGAAAUUGCAAGAAAAGACUAUAUCUUAGCCCUAAAAGGCCAAACAUUUGCACAAAAUGUGAAGAGGAGUUUCAGCUCUUCACUGACAUCUAUAAUUGGUAAUAUCAGCAAUUUUAAUUAAAUAAAAAUGUCUCCUAAGAUGAUAAUGCCUUGUAAUAAUUCUUACUUGAUUUUUAUGCAUUGUAAGCACUCUUUAGUUCUCUGUAAAAAGAGAUCUAAAAUAAGAGUCUUUUCUUGUCUUAAUCCAAGAAUAGCCCUCCAAUGGAAGAGGUGCUGAGCUGCCAAUCAAUCCCUCACAACCUGUUCAAAUGCAUCAGAUCUGAUGCCCAAAGCAUGCUCAGGUUCAGUAAAGGGAUGAGAGGCCCUUUGUUGGCCAAUCCAUCUGCAAUCUCAUUGUCCUCAAUCCUUUGAAAUAAAGUAGGAGUUAUCAAA
rnacentral:lncRNA from 1 species